GUUUUACAAAAAAACCAUGAAUGUUUAAACAGAGACCAGUAUCAUUCGUUCAGAUCCUACCCAUAUGAAACCCUAGAUCUCUUCUACUGCCCUCAGUCAACAAAAAAUGCAGACAUGUGUGAAGAUGUCUUCUGUCCAAUUGGUUACAAGACUGGAUUUCUUCGAUCUGUUUGGUUUGGAUGAUUUCAACUUCUUUCAUUUUCAAAACAAACUUUAUCAGAAAUUCAACAUGUUAACGACUGAUGAGCAUGAUCAUGCUGAGUUAUGUUAUGUAUCUUACGGAGUUUAAGUUUGGUGAUGACAAAAAAGUAGCUGAUCUGUCACUAAAGGCUUAUCAAGAAAAGGGACUGUUAUAAGGAUGAGCAAAUGGUACUAGAUAUCGGUACAGAAUUUGCCGAACCGUGUACAUAAAUAUGAUAUGUAAUUAUAAAUAAAGAAUUUGCAAUUACAUUAUGUAUUUAUUUGUUAUAACUUUUUAUUUCAGUUUUUUAUGUUA